UUGGCUUGCAGUACCUACCAUAUUAUAAAGCACUUUAAAACUCUGCCUGUGCCCAGAACCCUCCUCACAAACAACCAAGGGCUUUGUCUGUCCCAGCUGAAAUGCCAGCUAACGGGCCAUUGGUGGGGUUUGGGCUUUCCCAAUGAGAAUAUGUGGGUAUAAAUGACAAAGAGACCAAGACACGCUGGAGAAUCACAAGGGGCUCCUGAGUACCCAGACUAGUGGGAGACAGAGUCACAUGACAACAUUGAAGGUGACAAGGAGAAUCGAACCCUCAUGAAUCUGCUCCAAGGCAGGGAUAACAGCAAUUUUCUCCCUCUCCUAUGAAUUAAACUUCCAUUUCCCUUGGUGGCCAGAUCAAGUUACUGAAAGACAAUUUACUUAUCUGGAAAAUGAUUCCGGCUCAGAUGCUUAGAAACCACUGCAGCUGUAGUCGUAUCCUAUGGAUCUUGACUCACCCUUCAGAGUUCACCGGUGAGGUGCAGAGAUAAUGGUCAGCAUGACGUGAACUACAACUGAGCACGUACAUAAGGUUGUUUUCAUCAUUCCCAGGCUCUAUGAACCCUUACUUUUGGAGGCUGCCUGCCUUUUAUUAUGUAUAUUAAAAUGCACUCACAUUCUGCAUUAAAUGUAAUGCACAUAUAGAAGACCAGAGUUGAGUUGCCCUCAACUAGUUGACCUACUGCCACAACUUAGAGGUAUUUAAUUAAACACCUGUUUGUUUCAAUACUACUAUCUUCCUCGCAUAUUGUGGAGCCAAUAAAACAUUUUUGCUAUUUCAUAUUGUUACAGAGGCUUAAUUAAACACUUGCUAAUUUCAA